GAUGAACGCUGGCGGCGUGCUUAACACAUGCAAGUCGAACGGAAAGGCUCCUGCUUGCAGGGGUACUCGAGUGGCGAACGGGUGAGUAACACGUGGGUGAUCUGCCCUGCACUUCGGGAUAAGCCUGGGAAACUGGGUCUAAUACCGGAUAGGACCAUCGUUUAGUGUCGGUGGUGGAAAGUUUUUUCGGUGUGGGAUGAGCUCGCGGCCUAUCAGCUUGUUGGUGGGGUAAUGGCCUACCAAGGCGUCGACGGGUAGCCGGCCUGAGAGGGUGUACGGCCACAUUGGGACUGAGAUACGGCCCAGACUCCUACGGGAGGCAGCAGUGGAGAAUAUUGCACAAUGGGCGCAAGCCUGAUGCAGCGACGCCGCGUGGGGGAUGACGGCCUUCGGGUUGUAAACUCCUUUCGCCAGGGACGAAGCGAAAGUGACGGUACCUGGAUAAGAAGCACCGGCUAACUACGUG
rnacentral:rRNA from 1 species